UGCUUGAUUAUUAUAAGAGGUCCCGCCUGCCCUGUGACUAAGUUUAACGGCCGCGGUAUCAUAACCGUGCGAAGGUAGCAUAAUAAAUUGUUCUCUAAAUAAGGACUAGUAUGAAAGGCACCACGAGGGCUUAACUGUCUCCCUUUUCCAAUUAAUGAAACUGAUCUUCUCGUGAAGAAGCGAGAAUAAAAAUAUAAGACGAGAAGACCCCAUGGAGCUUUAAACUUAUCACCAUUUACUCCUUAUUACACCACUAUAUAUAGUAAAAUUUACUUGAAAGUUUUCGGCUGGGGUGACCCUGGAGAAAAACAAAUCCUCCAGGAUGAACGGAAUAAUAAUCCUAAUCAAAGAGCUACAGCUCUAUGAAUCAAAAUAUUGACAGAUUUGAUCCAAUUACUUGAUCAACGAACCAAGUUACCCUGGGGAUAACAGCGCAAUCCAUUUCAAGAGCCCCUAUCGACAAAUGGGUUUACGACCUCGAUGUUGGAUCGGGGUGUCCCAGUGGCGCAACCGCUACUAAAGGUUCGUUUGUUCAACGAUUAAAACCCC
rnacentral:rRNA from 1 species